UUUCCGGUUGAUCCCGCCGGACCCUACUGCUAUCGGGGUGGGACUAAGACAUGCAAGUCGUGCGUCUCUAAGCCAUGGUAGAGACGCGGCGUACGGCUCAGUAACACGUGGCUAACCUACCCUUAGGACGGAGGCAACCCCGGGAAACUGGGGCUAAUACCCGAUAGGUGAGGAGGCCUGGAAUGGUUCUUCGCUGAAAAGGCGUUGGAACCAUGCUUUUCAACGUCGCCUAAGGAUGGGGCCGCGCCCGAUCAGGUUGUUGGUGGGGUAACGGCUCACCAAGCCUAUAACCGGUACGGGCCGUGAGAGCGGGAGCCCGGAGAUGGGCACUGAGACAAGGGCCCAGGCCCUACGGGGCGCAGCAGUCGCGAAAACUCCGCAAUGCGCGAAAGCGUGACGGGGCUACCCCGAGUGCCGUCCGCUGAGGAUGGCUUUUCCCCGGUGUAAUGAGCCGGGGGAAUAAGGAGAGGGCAAGUCUGGUGUCAGCCGCCGCGGUAAUACCAGCUCUCCGAGUAGUAGGGAUGAUUAUUGGGCUUAAAGCGUCCGUAGCCGGCUUAGCAAGUCUCCUGUUAAAUUCAGCGACCUAAUCGUUGAGCCGCGGGAGAUACUACUAGGCUAGGAGGCGGGAGAGGCUGACGGUAUUCCCGGGGUAGGGGUGAAAUCCUAUAAUCCCGGGAGGACCACCAGUGGCGAAGGCUGUCGGCUAGAACGCGCUCGACGGUGAGGGACGAAAGCUGGGGGAGCGAACCGGAUUAGAUACCCGGGUAGUCCCAGCUGUAAACGAUGCGGGCUAGGUGUUGAGGUGGCUACGAGCCACUUCAGUGCCGCAGGGAAGCCAUUAAGCCCGCCGCCUGGGGAGUACGGCCGCAAGGCUGAAACUUAAAGGAAUUGGCGGGGGAGCACCACAAGGCGUGAAGCUUGCGGUUCAAUUGGAGUCAACGCCGGAAA
rnacentral:rRNA from 1 species